CGGCUCAGUAACACGUGGACAACCUACCCUUGGGACGCGGAUAAACCCGGGAAACUGGGUAUAAUACCCGAUAGUCCUCGACUGCUGGAAUGCAUCGAGGUCGAAAGCUCCGGUGCCCAAGGAUGGGUCUGCGGCCUAUCAGGUAGUAGUGGGUGUAGCGUACCUACUAGCCUACGACGGGUACGGGUUGUGAGAGCAAGAGCCCGGAGAUGGAUUCUGAGACACGAAUCCAGGCCCUACGGGGUGCAGCAGGCGCGAAAACUUUACAAUGCUGGAAACAGCGAUAAGGGAACCUCGAGUGCCAGGUUACAAAUCUGGCUGUCGUGAUGCCUAAAAAGCAUUGCAUAGCAAGGGCCGGGCAAGACCGGUGCCAGCCGCCGCGGUAACACCGGCGGCUCGAGUGGUAACCGUUAUUAUUGGGUCUAAAGGGUCUGUAGCCGGCCGGAUAAGUCUCUUGGGAAAUCUGGCAGCUUAACUGUCAGGCUUUCAGGAGAUACUGUCUGGCUCGAGGCCGGGAGAGGUGAGAGGUACUUCAGGGGUAGGGGUGAAAUCUUGUAAUCCUUGAAGGACCACCAGUGGCGAAGGCGUCUCACCAGAACGGACCUGACGGCAAGGGACGAAAGCUAGGGGCACGAACCGGAUUAGAUACCCGGGUAGUCCUAGCCGUAAACGAUACUCGCUAGGUGUCGGCCACGGUGCGACCGUGGU
rnacentral:rRNA from 1 species